UACUGAGUUUUGAUGUGGAUUCUCAUCAAUUAUCGGUCAGUUCUACUCAAUUAUUAGAAAAAUAAAGUAUUCGUGAUCCAACAGAAGCGCUGUUUUGACCUAACCUAGGUUUUAUCAGUAGUGCUUGGUUGAAUCACGAAUUCAUUGCUAAACUCGGCAGACCUCAGGAGGUCGCCAUCUAUGGUUCCAAAUAUUUGUUUUGCAGGGAAACCUGCAGAGUAUAUAGCUAGGAGACGCAUUUCGUUCAGUAGAUGUCGAAGAUUCGGCAGUAGAUGUCGAAGCAUGCCUUUAUAGCGGAUCGUCGUAGAGAAUCCUGUUUAUUGCCGAUAUUUGUAAUUUGAGUAUUCUGUCAAAUACGUAGAUGAGAUCGCAAGGAAAGAAAGUUGAGUUCAAUUUUGCUCUCAGAUGUUGGAUCGCCAAUGCUUUGUUUUUGGAGUUUGAUUUCAUCUAAUUGAAAGGCACGAUGGUGGAGUGAUACAUUGAACUUUUGGUCAAGAGUAUGAAGAAUAUUGCUCAUCAUAUCUUGAAACAACUCCAGCUCCAAGCUACCACUCUUCAUCGUCAGCUUCUGACAGAGUACCAUGAAAAGAACAGGAAUUCAACCACCUUUAUCCAAUGAAACAUCUGAGAAAAUUUUGUAUCGUACACAAGCAGAAAAGAAUAAGUAUUCUUUGAAGAGAUUAUCCACUUAAUCUGAAGAUCUUCGAUUUUUAACUUUUUUUUCAACUGCAAGCACAGAAAUCUAGGAGAUUUCUCUUCUAGAAUUUCGAAAGUGAUUUUUUCUUUCGCCAAAAGUUUGCCCUAUAUUCAAGGAGAUACAGUGAAAAAAUAUCCUAGCAGGAAAUAAAUUCAAUUGUUGUGAAAGAGACAAAUAUACGUUUGUAUAAAUAUAUAUUUCGCAUAUUUAUUUAGAUACAAUCCAUUUUCGAUGCUCCAGAGUGUAUAAAUCAAUAGUUUACUCAAUUCAUAGAGGAAAAAAUCCUGGAACUAUCAAUCAAGUUGUAGUUUUUUGAAAGUUCCAUUUAUUCCAAACACUUCACUGGCAAAUUCACUUUUUUCUGCCCUUUUCAACUCAUCCACUAUUUGAGAUUCUUGAAACUUGAAAAAUUCGGUAUUCUCUGUCAUCUGGACUUUAUAUUCUUCUG